rnacentral:lncRNA from 1 species
GGCGCCCAAGCAGCAGCCGCCGGAGCCCGAGUGGAUCGGGGACGGAGAGAGCACGAGCCCAUCAGACAAAGUGGUGAAGAAAGGGAAGAAGGACAAGAAGAUCAAAAAAACGUUCUUUGAAGAGCUGGCAGUAGAAGAUAAACAGGCUGGGGAAGAAGAGAAAGUGCUCAAGGAGAAGGAGCAGCAGCAGCAGCAACAGCAACAGCAGCAAAAAAAAAAGCGAGAUACCCGAAAAGGCAGGCGGAAGAAGGAUGUGGAUGAUGAUGGAGAAGAGAAAGAGCUCAUGGAGCGUCUUAAGAAGCUCUCAGUGCCAACCAGUGAUGAGGAGGAUGAAGCCCUGAUUCAGGAUCAGAGUGAGGAAGAGGAGGAGGAAGAAAAACAUCCUCCUAAGCCUGCCAAGCCGGAGAAGAAUCGGAUCAAUAAGGCCGUAUCUGAGGAACAGCAGCCUGCACUCAAGGGCAAAAAGGGAAAGGAAGAGAAGUCAAAAGGGAAGGCUAAGCCUCAAAAUAAAUUCGCUGCUCUGGACAAUGAAGAGGAGGAUAAAGAAGAAGAAAUUAUAAAGGAAAAGGAGCCUCCCAAACAAGGGAAGGAGAAGGCCAAGAAGGCAGAGCAGGGUUCAG